rnacentral:rRNA from 1 species
CCCUACGGGGUGCAGGGCUGAACGAAGAGAAGAAAUACUAUUCUCAGGUGCGUAGUUGGAUCGCAGAAAGAAAAAAUAUUCCACUAGAAUCUGUAGAAAUGCAGGUUUAUGCACACACCGGUGCAACAUUAUCUAAAGAGACAAAUGAUCCUAUUCGUUCUCCUGAUUUAAGCAGCGGGAAUCCCACUGCAUCGCAACAAGCAGAUUUAAUCUCAAACCCAAAUAAUGUAGAUUUGAUUCUAUUAUCUGCUGGUAUAAACGAUGUUGGUGUAGCAGAUAUUAUCAAUUUAGGUGAUGUUGAGGGAUUUUGGAAUAACUUCAAUAGUAUUUUGGGUGGUGGCACUUGCUCCAUUGCCGAAAUCAACAAAAGGUCUGCUAAUCUCAGGGAGC